rnacentral:rRNA from 1 species
AGAGUUUGAUCCUGGCUCAGGAUGAACGUUGGCGGUGUGCCUAAUACAUGCAAGUCGAACGAAGAGCACGAAGUAGCAAUACAUUGUGUUUCUUAGUGGCGAACGGGUGAGUAACGCGUUGGUAACCUGCCCCGAAGUGGGGGAUAACAGUUCGAAAGAACUGCUAAUACCCCAUGUUAUCAUAGAGAUUAGAUGCUCAAUGAUCAAAGGAUUUAUUCGCUUCGGGAGGGGCCUGCGUCCCAUCAGCUAGUUGGUAGGGUAAUGGCCUACCAAGGCUAUGACGGGUAGGGGACCUGAGAGGGUGGCCCCCCACAAUGGAACUGAAACACGGUCCAUACACCUACGGGUGGCAGCAGUAGGGAAUAUUGGUAAUGGGCGAAAGCCUGAACCAGCAACACCGCGUGUGCGAUGAAGGCCUUCGGGUUGUAAAGCACUUUUCGGGAGGAUGAGAAAGGACAGUACUCCUGGAAUAAGUCUCGGCUAACUACGUGCCAGCAGCCGCGGUAAAACGUAGGAGGCGAACGUUAUCCGGAUUUACUGGGCGUAAAGCGCGUGCAGGUGGUUUGGUAAGUUGGGCGUGAAAGCUCCCGGCUCAACUGGGAGAGGUCGUUCAAGACUGCCGGACUAGAGGAUGGUAGAGGGAGGUGGAAUUCCGGGUGUAGCGGUGGAAUGCGCAGAUAUCCGGAGGAACACCAGUGGCGAAGGCGGCCUCCUGGACCAUUCCUGACACUCAGACGCGAAAGCUAGGGUAGCAAACGGGAUUAGAGACCCCGGUAGUCCUAGCCGUAAACGAUGUAGACUUGGUGUCGGUGGUUUAAUAUCCAUCGGUAUCGAAGCUAACGCGAUAAGUCUACCGCCUGGGGACUACGGCCGCAAGGUUAAAACUCAAAGGAAUUGACGGGACCCCGCACAAGCAGCGGAGCGUGUGGUUUAAUUCGACGCAACGCGAAGAACCUUACCUGGGCUUGACAUCCCGAGAAUUUUCUGGAAACGGAGAAGUGCCUCAACCGAGGAGCUUGGAGACAGGUGCUGCAUGGCUGUCGUCAGCUCGUGUCGUGAGAUGUUGGGUUAAGUCCCGCAACGAGCGCAACCCUCGCCUUUAGUUGCCAUCAUUAAGUUGGGCACUCUAAAGGGACUGCCGGUGUCAAACCGGAGGAAGGUGGGGAUGACGUCAAGUCCUCAUGGCCUUUAUGUCCAGGGCUACACACGUACUACAAUGGUCGGUACAAAGGGCAGCGACCUUGCGAGAGGGAGCGAAUCCCAUAAAGCCGAUCUCAGUCCGGAUCGGAGUCUGCAACUCGACUCCGUAAAGUUGGAAUCGCUAGUAAUCGUGGAUCAGCAUGCCACGGUGAAUACGUUCCCGGGCCUUGUACACACCGCCCGUCACACCACGAAAGUCGGUUGUACCAGAAGUUGCCGGGCUAACCCAAAAGGGGGGCAGGCACCCAAGGUAUGGCUGGUAAUUGGGGUGAAGUCGUAACAAGGUA